rnacentral:lncRNA from 1 species
GUCGUAUUCAUCGUUUCCAUCCAGCCCAGAAAUGAAACCCUAACCUAAACUUAUUUCUCUAUAAAAUCCGCCACACAAAUUUAUCGUCCUCAAGAUUCAUUUUGAAACUACCAGUUUUUUCUUUUCUUUCUUUCUUUCUUUCUUUUUUUUUUUUUUGUAGAUUUAUUUUCUUUUUGAAAAUCGAUUUCUAAAUUUUUUAUGAGCAUUUCUUUUGUUUCAAUUGUUAUACACGCCCCAAAUAGCCCUUUGCAACUUGAAGUUGAUAGUUGUAAAGAAAAAUUCGAGGCGAAGGUAUAUUCGGUGCGACAGAAAUUUCGUAUUUUUGGCAAGUAUUUUGGUUGAAUUAAGCUUUUAUUCAUUCAGCUACGUUUUGCCAAAAAUAAAUAAAUAAAAAUAAAAUGAAAUAAAAAAUGAAAAUGAAAUGCUUUACAAGAAUUUACUAUAAUCUGUAAACAGCAAAGCAAAAUGAUGAAAAUUUAUAAGCCGAAUUUCAAUGUGGGGUUCUAAAUAUUAUGGUUUUUCAAAGUUCUCUGAUUGCUUUGCUAGAUUAAUUCUUGAAUUUUAACUUUGUGGAUUUUGAUUAUUUGAAAAUUAUACCAUUGGUCUGUUAUACCCUUUCUAUCAUUUAAGUUACUACAAGAAUUAUUGGAUUGGAGUAUGGAUUGAUGUUUGAUUUAUGUAGGCGUUUAACACUUGAUUCUUUUUUAUGUAGAUUUUGGAAUUUGAUUGCUGAGUUGAUUUUCAUUUAUGCACUACUUCAAGCAUUUUCCUUUGUGAUCUUCAGGCAUUAACCCUUGGUGUUUCCUUAGUUUAUUUAAUCUGCACAAUCUACUUCAAUUUUUAAUUUUUGGGUAUAAUCUCGCAUUUUGGAUGGUACGUUUUGGAGGUUGAAAAUUCGCAUUGGUUUAUGAUUGCAUAUAUGUGUUAAGCUGGACAGGGGGAUUAAUGCUGCAAUAAAUUUGAUUUACAGCCUGCAAGAGGCUAUGGUUUUCGUGGUCGUUAGGUUGGACUAUGGUUCCAUUUUGAAAAGGGAAAGCAAGAUGAUGAAAACUUGUAAUCUGAAUUAUGUGUGGAAAUACAAAUUCAAUGGUCUUCAAAGUUCUCUGAUUGCUUUGCUGUUUGUUGAUAUUCAGUGUGCAGGUUACUGAUUGUGGGUAAGUGUGUAUAUAUAAUUUAUACGAAGGCCAUAGAAAAUGUAGGUUGUUUGGAGGAUCAAGGAAUGUAUGCAAUUUCUGGGAUUAUAUAUAUUCCUAGCGUUCCUUAAAUUUUAGAUGCUUUACAUGUCUAUUUCUUUUCGUAUUUUAUUGGCUAGGUCAAAAUGUAUUGGGGUUGGACCAACAUUGUUGGGAAAAGAGACAAAUUGAAGCACCAAAAUACAUGGUCUGUUAUAAAUUUGUAUACAGACUAUACGAGCAUGGUGCCACAUUGAGAGUUUCAUCAAUGAUUGCCAAUUGAGUAUCUAUGUCAAAUGGCAAAACUAUUGUGGCAGAUGAAACACAUUUAAUAGUAUUUGUCUAUUGAAAUGUGUGGUUAAAAAUCAAGUUUGACCAAUUAUAAUUGAUUUAUAAAUCAUUUAUAAGUUAGCCAAUUGGAGGCUUAGUAAUAAGCUUCUAAAAUUUGUCUGCUGAAUUUCUACUUUUGGAUAGAGUAUAUGAAUGUAAUUUUGUUUAACUGAUUAUAGGAAAAGGGUCAUAAAAAUUUGUAUUCCUGUAUUUGGAAUUGGCUGGUUAACUGUGUCAUUGAAUGUGCAAGGAACCUUUAUAUGUUGAUAUAGGCUUAGCAAAUGCACGAUGAGACCUUUCUAUGUUGAUAGUGAUAGUAAAAUUUAUUAGAAAUGGUUGAGAGUACUCUAUGGUGAUUGCUGUAAUAAGAUUUAGGGGAGAGAGUGAGAAAAUAGGACACAAGAAUUAAAGAUUUUGAAAAUUUGGUGGAUGGCUCUUCCGUGCAUUUGCAAUGAAUUUUUUAUUCUUAUCCAGCUUUUCACUGUUGCACUUUCUAGGGAUAUUGAGAAGUCUAUAUGUUGUUCCCACAAGGAACGAUAACAAUGGGGAAAAAUGGACUUUCUUGAAUUUCUCAACGGGCUUAGGAGGUUUUAAUUCUGCAUUUUCAAAUUAAUGUAAGAUACUAGCCUGGAAACAGAGAUCAAAAUGGAUUCAUGUCUGAUAUGAGCUUAUCAAAUGCAUGAUAAGAAACCUCCAUGUUGACUGUUGUAGUCAAAUUUGUUAGGGAUGGUUAAAAAGUACCCUGUUCUAUACAAAGGUCUUGUUGAUAAAAUGAUAAAAUAUGAUAUCGUAAUUGAAGAUUUUGAACCUCUUUGCAUGUUUUUGUAACCAAUGAUUUGUUGAGUUAUGCUAUUUGUAUAUCAGAGAGAAAAGAUAGAGAAGAAAGUCG